AACGAACGCUGGCGGCAUGCCUAACACAUGCAAGUCGAACGAGACCUUCGGGUCUAGUGGCGCACGGGUGCGUAACGCGUGGGAAUCUGCCCUUGGGUUCGGAAUAACAGCGAGAAAUUGCUGCUAAUACCGGAUGAUGACGUAAGUCCAAAGAUUUAUCGCCCAAGGAUGAGCCCGCGUAGGAUUAGCUAGUUGGUGAGGUAAAGGCUCACCAAGGCGACGAUCCUUAGCUGGUCUGAGAGGAUGAUCAGCCACACUGGGACUGAGACACGGCCCAGACUCCUACGGGAGGCAGCAGUGGGGAAUAUUGGACAAUGGGCGAAAGCCUGAUCCAGCAAUGCCGCGUGAGUGAUGAAGGCCUUAGGGUUGUAAAGCUCUUUUACCCGGGGAUGAUAAUGACAGUACCUGGAGAAUAAGCUCCGGCUAACUCCGUGCCAGCAGCCGCGGUAAU
rnacentral:rRNA from 1 species